AAUUUUUUACCUUGUCGAUAUAACUAACUUCAUUAGCUUUGUUGUUAUUACUCUUGAUUUUUUUAUUGUUGUCAUCAUCAUCUUCAUCAGAUGAAUCGGAUUCAUUGUAUGUAUGUAGGAAUUAAGGGCACAAAAGCAUAAACUUCAAAAUCAUGUGAUUUAUAUAAUUUAUUAAUUAUUAAUUAUAAAUAAAUAAAAUGAAAUGAAUUUUUUAAAGGAUAUUGAGCAUCGAAUUUUGCACGAAGAGCAAGUUUUUUGAGCCUUCGUUCUUCAGCAACUGAGUCAGGCUCUGUUUUAUCACCUUCAUUCUUCUCACCUGUUUCCAAGUCUUCAAACUCACCAAACACAGGGGCAUCAU
rnacentral:lncRNA from 1 species